rnacentral:rRNA from 1 species
GACGAACGCUGGCGGCAUGCCUAACACAUGCAAGUCGAGCGAGCAGAUCCCUUCGGGGUGAAGCUAGCGGCGGACGGGUGAGUAACACGUGGGCAACCUGCCUCAUAGAGGGGAAUAACCUUCCGAAAGGAAGAUUAAUACCGCAUAAGAUUACAGCUUCGCAUGACGCAGUAAUUAAAGGAGCAAUCCGCUAUGAGAUGGGCCCGCGGCGCAUUAGCUAGUUGGUGAGGUAACGGCUCACCAAGGCGACGAUGCGUAGCCGACCUGAGAGGGUGAUCGGCCACAUUGGGACUGAGACACGGCCCAGACUCCUACGGGAGGCAGCAGUGGGGAAUAUUGCACAAUGGGGGAAACCCUGAUGCAGCAAUGCCGCGUGAGUGAUGACGGCCUUCGGGUUGUAAAGCUCUGUCUUCGGGGACGAUAAUGACGGUACCCGAGGAGGAAGCCACGGCUAACUACGUGCCAGCAGCCGCGGUAA